rnacentral:tRNA from 1 species
UGCGGGGUGGAGCAGUUCGGUAGCUCGUCGGGCUCAUAACCCGAAGGUCGGAGGUUCAAAUCCUCCUCCCGCAACCA